UACGUAGGGUGCGAGCGUUGUCCGGAAUUAUUGGGCGUAAAGAGCUCGUAGGCGGCCUGUUGCGUCCGCUGUGAAAUCCCGGGGCUUAACCCCGGGCGUGCAGUGGAUACGGGCAGGCUAGAGUUCGGCAGGGGAGACUGGAAUUCCUGGUGUAGCGGUGAAAUGCGUAGAUAUCAAGAGGAACACCAGUGGCGAAGGCGAGUCCCUGGACAACUUCUGACGCUGAGGCACGAAAGCUAGGGGAGCAAACAGG
rnacentral:rRNA from 1 species